CAAAAGGAAGCCCCAGAGGAAACAGAUUAUUUGUUUUACUUUUCUGCUCCCUAUUUCUCUCUGUUAAUUUGAAGCUUGUGUCCUCUCUUCUGCAUGUCCAAGACAGCACCGUGCUGCCUUGCUGAUGUUGGAUCUCAUUGCUCCCAGGGCUUCGCUCUCGUCUUUGCCAGCUUCAUCCUUCCCCUCUGUCACUCAGCCUCUUCCCCUCAUGUCCUCAUUUGACCUUCAUCUUUGAACUGAGCCCUUCAUUUGCUGUGAUGCUCACUUCCUCGACCUCAUCUUCAGUCAAGUGCUGUGCUCUCUGUUCCUGACAUCUCCAUCCAAGUCUCCGUGGUGUGCCAUAGUGGCAGUCCCUCUUUGCAAACCAUCUCAGACUUGUUAUGACACUUAGGUUGUUAUUCUCUGACUUGUCUGGUACUUGACGUCUCCUCCUUUCCUUGCUAACCUUGCUGUUUUCCCUCACUUUGCGGUUUCCACUUUUCCUUCCUCCUCAGCUUCUACCGAUGGUCUUUCCUGGAACGCAGCUCCCGCUCCCAGCCCUCUCCUCUCUAGCUGCAGUUGUUCUUUCUCUUCAGUCCUUGCUCAUUCUCAGCUAUUGUUUUCUGUUUUCAGCUUCCCCAAUAAUCUAAAUGCAACCCUUUCUGGCAGAGGCCAUGGUCUACAUUCCUCAGUGUUACGUUGGUAUAAAUAAAGUAAGUCUAUUGACCUUGACUGUGUUAGUGGAGAUUUAUACCAGCAGGACAUGUUUAUCUCUAUAAGCAUAUUAGUCAUGUUUCCCCCAAACUGCUGUUUAAAGAGCAUUAAGAGGUAGCGUUCAGAGCACUUACUUGCUCUAAAAUGACACUACAGGAUGAGUUUGCUGAAAAUUUUAUUUAUUUGUUUUCUGCUUUCUAUCUAUUUACUUUAGUCUUAGUAAAUGGUUCACUCAGGUUUCACAUCAAUAAAAAAAGACAAGCUCUCCAUAGACAGAUGUUUUCGAGUGUUGACAGAACCCUUUGUGCCUUGCUGCACUCCUGGCUCUCAGGCUCCCCGUGCCCAGCUCUGCUGACUUCAUCCCGUACCACUUCCUACAAUUCCAGUUCUUCAUCCCGUGCCCAGCUCUGCCAACUUGCAUCGUUCCUGGCUGACAGUAUCCCCUUCAAUUCAAGUGUGAGCACAUGUGCCAACAGGGGAUGGAAAUUUAAAUAAGCAUGCACAAAACACUUUUUAGCAAAAACUUAAAAAAAAAAUAAAUUCAAAAAAAGCUGCA
rnacentral:lncRNA from 1 species